UGAGUAAGUCAGAUGGUCGCAAGUACAGCACCGUGAGGUCGUACUUGAGGAAAGUCCGAGCUCCAAAGGGCAGGGUGCUGGGUAACCCCCAGUGGAGGCGACUCUAAGGAAAGUGCAACAGAAAUAAACCGCUAGCCUUAUCUUUGAUAAGGCAGUAAGGAUGGAAAGGUGAAGUAAGAGCUCACCGCUCCCAUGGCGACUUGGGAGGCUAUGUAAACCCCACCUGGAGCAAAACCACAUAAAAGAACAUAUGGGGCUGCCCGUCCCGUUCCAUGGUAGGUUGCUUGAGUGUAUAGGUAACUAUAUGCCUAGAUAGAUGACCGUCUAAUACAGAACUCGGCUUAUAGAUUUGCUCAUUUA
rnacentral:RNase_P_RNA from 1 species